AUUGAACGCCGGCGGCAUGCCUUACACAUGCAAGUCGAACGGCAGCACGGGGCAACCUGGUGGCGAGUGGCGAACGGGUGAGUAAUGCAUCGGAACGUACCUUUCAGUGGAGGAUAACGUAGCGAAAGUUACGCUAAUACCGCAUAUUCUGUGAGCAGGAAAGCAGGGGAUCGCAAGACCUUGCGCUGAUUGAGCGGCCGAUGUCAGAUUAGCUAGUUGGUGAGGUAAAGGCUCACCAAGGCGACGAUCUGUAGCGGGUCUGAGAGGAUGAUCCGCCACACUGGAACUGAGACACGGUCCAGACUCCUACGGGAGGCAGCAGUAGGGAAUUUUGGACAAUGGGGGCAACCCUGAUCCAGCCAUGCCGCGUGAGUGAAGAAGGCCUUCGGGUUGUAAAGCUCUUUCGGCCGGGAAGAAAUCGCACGGGCUAAUACCCUGUGUGGAUGACGGUACCGGAAUAAGAAGCACCGGCUAACUACGUGCCAGCCGCCGCUGUAAAAC
rnacentral:rRNA from 1 species